rnacentral:lncRNA from 1 species
UACAGGCAGAGAAAACAAAAGCUCAGCUGGAAGACACUGAAAUGGAGGCACCUACUUUCAAGCCCAGACUUUAAGAGAGAGAUCCCUGCAUGGUGACAGUGGCCACUCUCCUGUCCUGCUGGCAGAUGAAACCUCCCAAAUCCUCCCAAAGUGCUGCAGCAUCCACGUGCAGAAGGGUAUUUGCAUUCACUUGGUGCCUCAUUGUAAGGAAGGACACCAUUGACAGCACAUAACAUCACUAUUAUUAUUGCUAAACAGAUGGAAAAUAAUUGUUUAUGGAAUUUGUGUUUUAAUCGCAUUAAUGUCUUUGGCAGGAAGAUCCACCUAAGUACACAAUUCAAAGCCUGCCUUUGAUCUGGGCCCCUUGGGGGCAUUUUCCAUGACUGAUAAAAUGCUCCUCUGAGUUCAUAGGCAAAUGAUGAAAAUGAUAAAAAGACAAAAGUCAGGCACCAACCUCCCAUUUGGAUAUUUUG